rnacentral:rRNA from 1 species
GUACGUUAGUCGACGAGAAGAAGACACCGGCUAACUACCGUCGCCAGCAGCCGCGGUAAUACGGGAGGGUGCGAGCGUUAAUCGGAAUUACUGGGGCGUAAAGCGCAUGCAGGUGGUUUGUUAAGUCAGAUGUGAAAGGACCCGGGGCGUCAACCUACGGAAUAGCAUUUAGAAACUGGCAGACUAGAGUACUGUAGAGGGGGGUAGGAAUUUCAGGUGUAGCGGUGAAAUGCGUAGAGAUCUGAAGGAAUACCGGUGGCGAAGGCGGCCCCCUGGACAGAUACUGACACUCAGAUGCGAAAGCGUGGGGAGCAAACAGGAUUAGAUACCCUGGUAG